GCGUGCUCACUCCUCCAUUUCCUGUAGUCCAUGAUUCGCUCAUUUGUCUUGCUGACGUUGAGGGAGAGGUUGUUGUCCUGGCACCACGCUGCCAGGUCUCGGACCUUCUCCUCUAUAGGCUGCCUCAUCGUCGGUGAUCAAUCCUACCACCGUUGUGUCAGCAGCAAACUUGAUCAAGUUUGGAGGAAGAAGGAUACCUUGACCUGUCGAAUUCUAUCAACCUCUUCUGUGUGGAAUAUGUGUUCCUACCUCGUCUGCAGGCAGAUCUGCAGAAUUUCACAGUUAUUUCAGCUGUGUCGGUGAACCCCUCCCUCCAGCAUCUGAACUGGCUGACACAGAGGGCACAGCAUGAUCAUAGGUAUGUUUUGAUGUGAGAGAGGAAGCCAGUCCCAUUAUCGCCACCUCACCCGCUCUUAAGAUAACCUUCGGGCCAACUGGGGGCCCAAAGCUGGUUAAGAGACACUGCAAUUGUGAUGAACUGAG
rnacentral:lncRNA from 1 species